UCUCAGUUUGCGUUGGCUGGCUUUGGUGGCUUCCAUAGCGCCGGAGCUAUGCGUCUCUUGCUCUGUUGUAAAGUUUAUGUUGCUUUUACUUAGUUUAUGUGCGUUGUGGUGUAGGGAUUUUCGAAUGGUUCUUAGAUGGCUUAUGUUGUUUUUGUGGGUUGGUCUAUGUUGCUAGUAGCGCCUCUUGAUCCGUCGCAACUUUGCUUUGUUUGUAAGGUUUGUUUUGCCUUGUUGUCUCCCUUUCCUUUGGGUUUUGCUUCCAAGACUAUCCUUUUAAUCGUCGGCUUAGUUUUCUGGUGUU